rnacentral:lncRNA from 10 species
UUUGAUGUAAGUCAUCGUCUCUGGACAUGAGAACGGGAGGCCUCACUUCCACAUCCUCCUCCAAAUGAAUGCACUCUAAACAAACAUUGAUGCGCCUCUCAAGGUUGGCAUUGCAUCUGGACCAGUGCCAGGAAGCCACAAGGCCACCAGAGGCAGAGGGGAAGAGCAAGGGCGGAAGAAUAGAAGUCAAGCAGCAGCAGAUGGAAUGUGUGCACGGUCAGAAUCCAGUGCAUUGGAGGGAACCCUGGACAUA